CCUACGGGAGGCAGCAGUGAGGAAUAUUGGUCAAUGGACGCAAGUCUGAACCAGCCAUGCCGCGUGCAGGAAGACGGCUCUAUGAGUUGUAAACUGCUUUUGUACGAGGGUAAACGCAGAUACGCGUAUCUGUCUGAAAGUAUCGUACGAAUAAGGAUCGGGUAACUCCGUGCCAGCAGCCGGGGUAAUACGGAGGAGUCAAGCGUUAUCCGGAUUUAUUGGGUUUAAAGGGUGCGUAGGCGGUCGGAUAAGUUAGAGGUGAAAUCCCGAGGCUCAACUUCGGAAUUGCCUCUGAUACUGUUCGGCUAGAGAGUAGUUGCGGUAGGCGGAAUGCAGGGUGUAGCGGUGAAAUGCUUAGAGAUCAUACAGAACACCGAUUGCGAAGGCAGCUUACCAAGCUACUUCUGACGCUGAGGCACGAAAGCGUGGGUAUCGAACAGGAUUAGAUACCCCUGUAGUC
rnacentral:rRNA from 1 species